rnacentral:rRNA from 1 species
UACGAAGGGGGCUAGCGUUGCUCGGAAUCACUGGGCGUAAAGCGCACGUAGGCGGCUUGCUAAGUCAGGGGUGAAAUCCUGGAGCUCAACUCCAGAACUGCCUUUGAUACUGGCGAGCUUCGAGUCCGGGAGAGGUGAGUGGAACUGCGAGUGUAGAGGUGAAAUUCGUAGAUAUUCGCAAGAACACCAGUGGCGAAGGCGGCUCACUGGCCCGGUACUGACGCUGAGGUGCGAAAGCGUGGGGAGCAAACAGG